UGCCCCAUGGCUGAGUUGGUUACAGCGUCCGACUGUUAUGCAAACUAGAUGCACUAGAUUAUCGGAAGGUCGAGAGUUCGAGCCUCUCUGGGGCAG